AAGGUAAGUGAUGAUCAUUAUUUGUUUAUUUAUCUAUAUUAUCUAACCAAUUAAGUGUAGUUAUUUAAGCUUAGUCACAAGUACUGUGAAAAGAGAGAAAAAAAAUCGAAAUAUAAAAAGGGUUUUUGUAAGUCUCAAACCUGAAAAUCAGAUAGUGACAUGUUAGCUCCUUAUGUGGAUAAAACAAAACAACUACCUUAACAUUCGAUCUUGAAGUC
rnacentral:lncRNA from 1 species